AAGAAGACGAAGAAAUUUGAAAGAGAGGAUAAAGUAUUUCUGGAGUCAUCCCAUUGAAGGCUGAGUAACCUUGCUCAAGCCAUGUCAUGCUUUCAGCUCAUAUCCCUUCUGUGUUAACUGGACAUGUCUUACACGCGUUCUCAC